CUUCCUGAUAAGUCCCUCUGAGAUCCAGUCCUUUUCUCUGCGAUGGCAUCCUCAUUACUGAUAUUAAUUGCUCUAGCUUCCUUCUCUUGUUGUGUCCUUUCACAGCAGGUGGUUCUGACACAGUCAGAUUCAGUGGUGAAAAAACCUGGAGAAUCCCAUAAACUGGCUUGUGCGGUCACUGGAUUCAAUGUGAAUAGCUACUGGAUGAGCUGGAUCAGACAGAAACCUGGCAAAGGACUGGAAUGGCUUGUUUACUAUCUUAGGUCUGGGUACAGUUACAAUGCUUAUUCCCCUGCCAUCCAAGGGCGUUUUACGGCUUCCAAGGACAGCUCCAACUUCUAUCUGCAAAUGAACAGCCUGAAAGCAGAAGACUCAGCCACUUAUUACUGUGCAAGACACACAGUGAGAGGAAUCCCACUAGAUCUCAGACAAAAACUCUUCACUGCAUUGAUCUUCAGAGAUAAGUGA